AACGAACGCUGGCGGCAUGCCUAACACAUGCAAGUCGAACGAAGCCUUCGGGCUUAGUGGCGCACGGGUGCGUAACGCGUGGGAAUCUGCCCCUUGCUUCGGAAUAACAGUUAGAAAUGACUGCUAAUACCGGAUGAAGUCUUCGGACCAAAGAUUUAUCGGCAAGGGAUGAGCCCGCGUAGGAUUAGGUAGUUGGUGGGGUAAAGGCCUACAAAGCCGACGAUCCUUAGCUGGUCUGAGAGGAUGAUCAGCCACACUGGGACUGAGACACGGCCCAGACUCCUACGGGAGGCAGCAGUGGGGAAUAUUGGACAAUGGACGCAAGUCUGAUCCAGCAAUGCCGCGUGAGUGAUGAAGGCCUUAGGGUUGUAAAGCUCUUUUACCAGGGAUGAUAAUGACAGUACCUGGAGAAUAAGCUCCGGCUAACUCCGUG
rnacentral:rRNA from 1 species